rnacentral:rRNA from 1 species
UGAACACUUGACCUCAAAUCAGGCGGGACUACCCGCUGAACUUAAGCAUAUCAAUAAGCGGAGGAAAAGAAACUAACAAGGAUUCCCCUAGUAACUGCGAGUGAAGCGGGAAGAGCUCAAAUUUAAAAUCUGGCGGCUUCGUCGUCCGAGUUGUAAUUUAGAGAAGUGUUUUCCGCGCUGGACCGUGUACAAGUCUCCUGGAACGGAGCGUCAUAGAGGGUGAGAAUCCCGUCUUUGACACGGACCCCCAGUGCUCUGUGAUACGCUCUCGAAGAGUCGAGUUGUUUGGGAAUGCAGCUCAAAAUGGGUGGUGAACUCCAUCUAAAGCUAAAUAUUGGCGAGAGACCGAUAGCGAACAAGUACCGUGAGGGAAAGAUGAAAAGCACUUUGGAAAGAGAGUGAAACAGUACGUGAAAUUGCUGAAAGGGAAACGCUUGAAGUCAGUCGCGUCCGCCGGAAUUCAGCCCUCGUGGUGUACUUUCCGACGGACGGGCCAGCAUCACUUUUGACCGCCGGAAAAGGGCGGAGGGAAUGUGGCACCUCCGGGUGUGUUAUAGCCCUCCGUCGUAUACGGUGAUUGGGAGUGAGGACCGCCUAUCUUGUAGGAUGCUGGCGUAAUGGCUUUAAACGACCCGUCUUGAAACACGGACCAAG